rnacentral:rRNA from 1 species
AACGUAGGAGACAAAUGUUAUCCGGAGUUACUGGGCGUAAAGGGCGUGUAGGUGGUUGCGUAAGUCUGGCGUGAAAUUUUUCGGCUUAACCGGGAAAGGUCGUCGGAUACUGCGUAGCUAGAGGACGGUAGAGGCGUGUGGAAUUCCGGGUGUAGUGGUGAAAUGCGUAGAGAUCCGGAGGAACACCAGUGGCGAAGGCGACACGCUGGGCCGUACCUGACACUGAUGCGCGACAGCAUGGGGAGCAAACAGG